rnacentral:tRNA from 1 species
CGGCGCGGAGGCCGUGGACCACUGGCGGCUCGACCUGUCCGGUGUCGCCAAGGCCGACUGGAUCGGCCUGCCGUCGUUCCACGCGCCGAGCUUCGA